GACGAACGCUGGCGGCGUGCUUAACACAUGCAAGUCGAACGGAAAGGCCCUGCUGUUGUGGUGUGCUCGAGUGGCGAACGGGUGAGUAACACGUGAGUAACCUGCCCUUGACUUUGGGAUAACUUCAGGAAACUGGGGCUAAUACCGGAUAGGAGCUCCUGCUGCAUGGUGGGGGUGGGAAAGUUUCGGCGGUCGGGGAUGGACUCGCGGCUUAGCAGCUUGUUGGUGGGGUAGUGGCUUACCAAGGCUUUGACGGGUAGCCGGCCUGAGAGGGUGACCGGCCACAUUGGGACUGAGAUACGGCCCAGACUCCUACGGGAGGCAGCAGUGGGGAAUAUUGCACAAUGGGCGGAAGCCUGAUGAAGCAACGCCGCGUGCGGGAUGACGGCCUUCGGGUUGUAAACCGCUUUCGCCUGUGACGAAGCGUGAGUGACGGUAAUGGGUAAAGAAGCACCGGCUAACUACGUG
rnacentral:rRNA from 1 species